AGAAUGAAAUCCUACUGGAGGCGCCGAAACAGGGUCGUUUUAGUUGGAACUAUUAACGAGGAAACUCGGUUAAAAAAAUCGAAAUCGGAUUUCGACGAGGAAACGGUCGUUUGAUGGUUACGAUCGCUUAGUUAAUCGCCUAUAACGCGCGUUUACGCCUUAAUCCGCAUCGACCUCGAAUUCGAAAAAAAAAAAAACUAGGGUUACACGACGAGUUAUAAUAAUGCGGACGACGAAAGUCGGGAGUCGCGCGGCGCG